rnacentral:rRNA from 1 species
CAGCGGAGGAAAAGAAACCAACAGGGAUUGCCUCAGUAGCGGCGAGUGAAGCGGCAAAAGCUCAAAUUUGAAAUCUGGCGUCUUUGGCGUCCGAGUUGUAAUUUGAAGAAGGUAUCUUUGGGCCCGGCUCUUGUCUAUGUUCCUUGGAACAGGACGUCACAGAGGGUGAGAAUCCCGUGCGAUGAGAUGACCCGGGUCUGUGUAAAGUUCCUUCGACGAGUCG